GGGCGUGUGGCGUAGUUGGUAGCGCGUUCGCUUAGCAUGCGAAAGGUCUUGGGUUCAAUUCCCAACUCGUCCA
rnacentral:tRNA from 1 species